AGACUGCGAUAAGUAGUGUGAAUUGCAUUUAGUGAAUCAUCGAAUCUUUGAACGCACCCUGCACUCACUGGUAUUCCGGUGAGUACGCCUGUUUCAGUAUCAUUGAAAACACACAAUCAAAACAUUUUCUUUGGUUUGAUUGGCUUUGGGUCUAUCAAAAAGUUUGGCUUGUUUCUUACAAGCCAAGCGGCCUGAAAUAUAUUGUCUGGCUAAUUGCAUCGUUGAUGAUCGCUAUUAGACUUUGGCUUUUUUAAAUGAACUGGAGGUUGAUUAACCAGUUUUAGCUUUAGUCAAAUGGUCAUUGUAAAAAAAAUCUCGAUCUUGGCUAGGUGUUUAUAGCCGAAAAUUUUUUUUUGGCUAUAACCGAAACCAAUAUAAUCACAUUUAGUUAUCGAUCUGAAAUCAGGUGGGACUACCCGCUGAACUUAAGC
rnacentral:misc_RNA from 1 species